GAAUGUUUGUUCAGUUGAUAUGAGCUUGGCUCCAAAACUGUACCAUCUCGAGGUGGCUCUUGGACACUUCAAGAAGUGGAGUGUGACUGAAAGCUUGAGUCACGUGCGUAAUUACAUGAAGGUGGCCGGAUUUAUCUAAGUUGAUGACACUCGAAAAGGAAGGCCUCCUUAGUUCGGCAACUAGGAAACGAAGAUGAACCAAAAAGGCUUUGUCGAGCUGGCAGUACAAUUAUGUCACCUUCUGAAGGGGCCAGCCUCUUUCGUGUGGCAAUCCUGAGAUUCAAAAGUGAGAAGAAACUUUAUGUGUGCUAUAUCGUCAUCACUAACCAUAUCCCUCAUCUUUGCAUUUCUUGAGUGGUCGCUCAAGCACCUAUCCAUCUUGUUCGUCCUCAUAUCUCUCUCUAUAAAUGCAAUCUCUAUAUAUAUUUUUUUCGUGGAUCGAUUGACUUAUUUCCAGUAGUGUGAGAUUGAUUAUCUUUUGCAAUGUCUUGAACCUAAAUCAUUAGAUUUGUUAUAUUUGCGAUGAUUAUAUGGUUCCUAAUA